rnacentral:tRNA from 2 species
GGGUCCGUAGCUCAACUAGGCAGAGCAGCACCCUUUUAAGGUGAUGGUUGCACGUUCGAUUCGUGCCGGACCCA